UACGUAGGUCCCGAGCGUUGUCCGGAUUUAUUGGGUUUAAAGGGUGCGUAGGCGGUCCGUUAAGUCAGCGGUAAAAUUGCGGGGCUCAACCCCGUCGAGCCGUUGAAACUGGCAGACUUGAGUUGGCGAGAAGUACGCGGAAUGCGCGGUGUAGCGGUGAAAUGCAUAGAUAUCGCGCAGAACUCCGAUUGCGAAGGCAGCGUACCGGCGCCAGACUGACGCUGAGGCACGAAAGCGUGGGGAUCGAACAGG
rnacentral:rRNA from 1 species